AAGUUUCAACAACGGACCUCUUGGCUCUCGCAUCGAUGAAGAACGCAGCGAAAUGCGAUAAGUAAUGUGAAUUGCAGAAUUCAGUGAAUCAUCGAAUCUUUGAACGCACCUUGCGCUCCUUGGUAUUCCUUGGAGCAUGCCUGUUUGAGUAUCAU
rnacentral:rRNA from 1 species